rnacentral:rRNA from 1 species
ACGGGUGAGUAACGCGUGGGAACGUGCCCUCUGGUUCGGAAUAACUCAGGGAAACUUGAGCUAAUACCGGAUACGCCCUUUUGGGGAAAGGCUUGCUGCCGGAGGAUCGGCCCGCGUCUGAUUAGCUAGUUGGUGAGGUAACGGCUCACCAAGGCGACGAUCAGUAGCUGGUCUGAGAGGAUGAUCAGCCACACUGGGACUGAGACACGGCCCAGACUCCUACGGGAGGCAGCAGUGGGGAAUAUUGGACAAUGGGCGCAAGCCUGAUCCAGCCAUGCCGCGUGAGUGAUGAAGGCCUUAGGGUUGUAAAGCUCUUUUAUCCGGGACGAUAAUGGCGGUACCGGAGGAAUAAGCCCCGGCUAACUUCGUGCCAGCAGCCGCGGUAAUACGAAGGGGGCUAGCGUUGCUCGGAAUCACUAGGCGUAAAGGGCGCGUAGGCGGCGUUUUAAGUCGGGGGUGAAAGCCUGUGGCUCAACCACAGAAUGGCCUUCGAUACUGGGACGCUUGAGUAUGGUAGAGGUUGGUGGAACUGCGAGUGUAGAGGUGAAAUUCGUAGA